rnacentral:rRNA from 1 species
GACGAACGCUGGCGGCGUGCUUAACACAUGCAAGUCGAACGGAAAGGCCCUGCUUUUGUGGGGUGCUCGAGUUGCGAACGGGUGAGUAACACGUGAGUAACCUGCCCUGUACUUUGGGAUAACUUCAGGAAACUGGGGCUAAUACCGGAUAGGAGCUCCUGCUGCAUGGUGGGGGUUGGAAAGUUUCGGCGGCUGGGGAUGGACUCGGGGCUUAUCAGCUUGUUGGUGGGGUAGUGGCUUACCAAGGCUUUGACGGGUAGCCGGCCUGAGAGGGUGACCGGCCACAUUGGGAAUGAGAUGCAGCACAGACGACUACGGGAGGAAGGAGUGGGGAAUAUCGCACAAUGGGCGGGAGCCUGAUGCAGCAACGCCGAGUGCGGGAUGACGGCCUUCGGGUUGUAAAACGCUUUCGCCUGUGACGAAGCGUGAGUGACGGUAAUGGGUAAAGAAGCACCGGCUAACUACGU